rnacentral:lncRNA from 1 species
UUGGUUCAAGUAAUUUCUUUGUGUGGUUUUCUUAUGUAGAUAUUUGUUGUUAUAUUAUCGCUUUGUUGAACCAAUCAAUUAGAAAGUGUGCUUCUUGCUUCACAAUGUGUUGCGAGUUUAGGUACCACAAUAUGUAUGCUGAACAUAUUAUUUGGUUUCCAAUACUUUUCCAUUUUGUCUGAUCAUCAUUUUUUUCAGGAGCAUUUUUCACUUCGGCUUCAACUGUAUGAAAAAGAACUUGAAUUGGAUAUACUUGUUGGGUUUGUUUACUUUUACCCUUUUUUUUUGGCCUGGAUCUCAGAUAAAAUAUUGCUCAUCAUCCCAUUAUUCUCUUUACUUGGUAUACCAAAUUUAAUGGUGUCAUACUGAUCCACUUGUUAAUGCUGAUUAACUAGUUGAGGGUGUUUCAUGUGUUGUGUGCUUUGUGAAUUGAGUCUCAUAUAUAAAGCAGUACUUGCAAGGGUAUUUGUUCUUUAUGCUGAAGUAUUUCCAACGGCUGCAGGAAACUCUUGGACCUGUUCCUCAAGGAUUUGAUAUGUACUUUGCAAGUCGAUUCCCAAAGCUCCUAAUUGAAGUCUACAAAGUGGUUUACCGAUUCUGUAAGGAAGAGGAUUACCUUAGCAAGUAUUUCCAAUGCAGCAGCCUUCUGUAGAUUCAGAUCUUCUGUUCCAAAGACUUGAACCAAUAUGAGAAGUGCUUGUUUUGUUCUCUCUAUCUCUCUCUCUCUUCAUUUGGCGAAGGUAGGACUUCUUUUGCUUCUACUAGUAUCGAUUUUAGUUCUAAUCCAUGAUCGGUAGAUGUUUCUUCUCAUCUCUGUAUUGGAUGAUCUUUGAGUGUAGUUCGAUGAAUUGAAUGAGGCAUCCUUCCUCUUUCAUUAGGAUGCUUGUCUUCUUAGUUCUUGUAUUAGCGUAGAGUAGAUCGGUGCGUUCUUUGUGUAGAUGGAUUCUCUCUGCUUUUGUUUCAUUUUUUAUCGGAAGAGAAAUGCUGAUCAUGAGGUUGGCAACCUUCAAGCGGAUUUUUGGUUAUCUUCUCAAAGUUUUAUGGCAAAUAUGCUUCCCGGUGAUGAUCGGGUCUCGCUGUUUCGGGUUUUCCUCUUAUGCGUAGUGCAGUAAUGUUGUUGACGUCACUCCGGUUUGUCUCUAUUCAACAGACCAUGUCAGACACAAGUCGAUGCAGCGAGCGCCGGUUUCUCCCACCAUUGGCAACAGCCGCGGCUGUUCGAUCGCAUCAUCACCGGAUAAGGCAUAUUUUGGACCUCGAUCACGACUCAGAUCCACCGUUAGCGUAAGUGCAAACAUGAAACCGCAGGACAUGAAUCGAGCAUCACGUCGAAUACACCCCUACAGAUUCAGCACAAAGGCCACCUCCCUCCCACGUCGAUCGAAGCCCGUGCAAGGAGGCGUCUUCUCGACAAGUCUUGUUCCGGAAAGUUCAGGACGAUGUUGCAUGGCGUCGUUUCGCACAUACCAAUCAGCGACCAUACGAAGAUACGAACUCACUGCUCAGGGAGUCGAUCGCUACGUCAAACCCACGUACGAUCGACUCUCGGGCACUAUUAUAAAAGCCGUUGACCAGCAUCUGGCUAGAGGAUCCGAGAAAAAAGCCAAAAACCACUGACUUAAACUCCGAGAGGCCUAAGUCGGGAAUCCCCUAAUCCAGGCCUAUGUGUAGGGACACGACCACUCCCAGGCCAGCUCAAAUCCUCGGUGGAGGCGCGUUCAACCCAACUUCUGAUCCAGCCCAACCUCGGGACCCACCCGAUCGAUUGAGAGACACACUCUCAUUGAUAUGAUCUUAUAAAUAAUUAAUAUUUGUACAAUAUAAUGAUAUAAUCUUAUAAAUAAUUAAUAUUCUUAGUCAUAUUUUUCAAAGCCGUUAAUAGAUUACAUUAAAAUAGUUUAGGUGCAUUUACUUAACUAUCCAUAAGAUUUACCUGUCUAAGUUUUGUGCUUAAUUUACAGAAUGGCCAUAUUUUCUUACUGUAGGAGCACAAACAUCAACGUUGUCGACUGAUCAUAUCAUAUACUACAAUACAAAAAUUUUUUUUUUUUAUUUUUGGGGGGUCGACAAGUAGAAUACAUAUUUUAAUGCUGUCCGUCCGAUCAGAAUCAUCUGAUGGGUGACGUGUCCAUAUUUGCUCUGCCAAGCUUGGCAAGUGAUGCAAAUAAUUGAAAGUUCCGUGAAUAAUGGGCCUUUGGCAGUAUCGUUAGUCCAUAGCCUAAUCGUAGGACCUGAUUUGAUAGCACAGUUAUGGGCCAAGCCCAACUAUACGUCACGAAUACGAAAGCCAUCAAACAAUCGUACGGUGUCGCAUAUGCUUUCCGUAGUGGCCCGCGCAAGCAAGAGGCUGCAAGGCGAAAAGGAAAGGGAGAUGAUCGGGUCUGUGGAAGCUCUUGGUAUGGGGCUGGGUUGGAAAACCCUACCGCCCCGCCAUGUUUGUCUUACAUGGAGUGAGGUCUUUUCCAAUGCCUCCAAUGCCGAUGGUUUCCAGGCACCCCUCCCUUUCCCUCUCUGAGUCUUUUGAGGAUUGGUGUGACAUGCGAUGGUGAAGAAGGCGCCGGGAGGAGGGAGAGGAAGCGCAGGGAUUCCUACAAGCUGUGGGGAUGGGGGCAUCGCCGUGCCCAUACCAGCUCUGGCUGAGAGAUGCAGGUUGAUGGUGCUUGCCGAUCCCUCCCAUGCCUAUGGUUUUUAGUAGCUCGUUCCUCUCCCUUGCCCCUCUUGUAAUGCUCUUACGUUAUGGAUGCGGCUUACAGUAAGAACAGGUGUUCUUAUUUCAGCCGCCUCCUCCACCAACCAUUCUGUCCGCUGCCGGAGAGCUCCGACAAACAACCCAGCCGUUUCAGAACAUCCCCCCUCUGCACCUUUUGUCGUCGGCUGCAACAGAAUGGCACCGCUCCACGCAUCCGUCGCCCUCCUCCCUUUACACCUCCUCCCCCGGUGGUGCCGUGUUAUCCCUCCAUGGUUUGGCUCCUCAUGAAACCUCCACCAGCUGCAAAAUACCAUCUCCACCAACCAUUCUUUCCGCAGCCUGAAAGCUCCGACAAAGCACCCAGCCGUUUCAGAAGGGCAACUCCUUGUUUCCUUGCCCCAUUCUACCGUUUUGACCUAGUGGGGUUCGCCUUAUCUUGAUCCAUCCCCGGCCAAUUUAGUCGCUCCCCAAAACCAACCCCCACUCCCCCUCCUCUCCCUCCAUUCGAUGCUCCCAUCCGAGCGCUCCGUCGCUUUCUUCGCCUUGCUCCUGCUAGGGUUACUCGUCUCCGGCGUGUUGACGCCCGUGGUGCUUGAUCCGUCGGCGGAGAGCGAAUCUUGGGGGACCGCAGCUGCCGCCGCUGCAUCUGCUUCCCCUCUUCCUUCUCCUCCUACUCCUUGGCUUUCAAUUCCUGCUCCGCCUACUAGCGAGAUCUUCCAGGAAGAAAAAUGGACCGACCGGCCAUUGUCGGGGGAUUUGGUACCGGUCGAGGAGUCUCCUCCUUUUGUCCCGGAUCCCAAAUCGGCGUUGCUAUUGAGUUCGGCUGAAAGGUAAGCACUUGGAUUUUGGAUUGGUUCAAGUAAGAGCAGGGUUUUCUGCUAUCGCUCGUAUGUUUUUGAUUGGUUGUGUUUGUUAAAGAUCUAACUUUUUAAAGUUCAAGACACGAAUUUGAAGAUAGUUGUCGUGAAAUUUGACUCUCUCCUUUCGAAAUUCGACAUUACUUGCAGCUUAGUAGAGGCUAGCUGCUGUAACAAUGACAAUUUGCUAGCUGUGAUAGGCGUUCUUUUAAGCAUGUCGACUUGUGCGAAUAUGUGUUUCAAAGUAGCAGCAGCUUGAUUAUGGUAAUUCCUGAAAUUCUCAUGUGGCUCGAUGAAACAUUUUGCACCCACUAAGAACCAUUGGCUUUCUGAUAUUUUCUAUAUUAGCUUAUGGAAACAGUUGUUAGAUGAAUGCAUAGGUAUACCUUCAAGUGGGUGAAACUAAUACUAGGUGUUUUCAAGUUUUGUUAGUGCAAGUAAUUUUGGAUCUAUGAGCAAGCUUAUGAAUGCGAAUCAGCCAGUAAGUGUUCCUUAGGAAUUGUCACAAAUUCCGUUAUGGACCAUGACCAGAUAGUGGAGAGACUAAACGAUGAACAUAUUUCUUUAGUUGGAUCACGAGGCUUGCCUACUUCCCCAAAUGGAUCUCCACUGGGAAAUUGCAUUUUUGAUAGGCCAAAAUUUCCUACAGCAUAUUCUAGUUUUGUAAACUCAAGACAGAGACCCAGAGGUCCAAUCAACUGGCUUUAUCACGAACAAGAGAGUUCUAAUACAUCAUGGAACUCAUUGGAUGAUUCAAAUACUUAUUCAAUCGACGGACAUUCUCAUGUUCAGCAAGGCCGUGGCUUGUCAACACAAUCUAUUUAUGGUCAUGGUUGGCUAUUUAUUCUCUCUGUGCCUAUAUUUGCAUUUUGCUAUUUUGGGUUGAGAAAGCUGUUCAAGAAUGAUAAAAAAUAUAAUGAUUUGAAGGAAAAGCAAUCUGUCGUUCCUAAGAAGAGAAAAUCUCGGAAGUCUGGAAAGUUGAAAAAUGCUACCAUCAGUGUUAGUCAUGACAGACAUACUUUAUCCAUGAAAGAGAAUGCUGAAACCAAUGGGCAUAAUCAAAUUCAGGUCAAUGGAAGUUAUUCAUUUAUACCUGAUGGUGAUAGUGAUGGGCGUUGGGUUGGAAGACUUUUUGUUACAAAUAUUGAAAUCGGUCACGGGAGCAAUGGUACAGUCGUCUUUGAAGGAUUUUAUGGUGGUCGUCCAGUUGCUGUAAAACGGCUUCUUCGUGCACAUCAUGAUGUUGCCUUUAAAGAGAUUCAGAAUCUUACUGCAUCUGAUCGACACCCAAAUAUUGUUCGGUGGUAUGGAGUAGAACAAGAUUUGGAUUUUUUGUAUAUCUCACUGGAGCGUUGUAUUUGCAGCCUAAGUGACUUAAUAUGCAUAUGCUCAGAUUCUUCUUCACAUUCAGUAUCUGUGGAAAAUCAAACUUUAAAUUCUGUGGUCGAAGAUAAAGUUCAAUUAAGCUUGGUGAAAGGUAUCAGAAAGGAUGUUAACUUGUGGAGAUCAAAUGGGUUUCCUUCAAGCCAACUCUUAAAGAUAAUGAGGUGCGGCUUUGUCCUUUCCAUCGUAUGUCUCUUCACUGUAGAUUUUGUGUUGCUCUGUUACUUCUUUGUCUCUUUGUAUAUAUAUUUGAGUCAAUAUUUUUUUAUAAACAGCUUAUAGGUCAUCUUUUAUCUUGUUGGCAUUGGGUGUUUAUUGAACGGUGAAGAAUUUUCCAUUUAAUAGCCAUUGUUUCCUUAAGAAUAGAAGACAAUGACAAUUUGAGUCUCAUUUGAUUGAAUUUAGCAAUUUGGUUUUUUCUUAGAAGUAGCUUCUUGAUUGCAAUAUUAUUUUCUUUCACAAAAGAAAACUUCAAAAUACAUCAGAACCAGCUCUGCUCUGUACAACAGAUGAUGGCGAAGUUGGGAAGAAGUUAUAUGCAUAUUCAUUAGUAACACAGUUUCUUAAGCACAAGAAAACUUUGUACAACAGAGGAUGACAUAUGUUUCUAUACAAAAUCAAGAGUGACAUGGUUUCUUAAACAGAAUAAAAACCUAAAGUUUAUAGCCUCUUCCAUCCUUUUAUUUGAGUAUAUUCAUCUUAAAUUCUUGAGAUCAAUUUGCUGUGUGUGUGUAACUUGGUUCAAGUAAUUUCUUUGUGUGGUUUUCUUAUGUAGAUAUUUGUAGUUAUAUUAUCGCUUUGUUGAACCAAACAAUUAGAAAGUGUGCUUCUUGCUUCAGAAUGUGUUGCGAGUUUAGGUACCGCAAUAUGUAUGCUGAACAUAUUACUUGGUUUCCAAUACUUUUCCAUUUUGUGUGAUCAUCAUCAUUUUUUUCAGAUGGAGCAUUUUUCACUUCAGCUUCAACUGUAUGAAAAAGAACUUGAAUUGGAUAUACUUGUUGGGUUUGUUUACUUUUACCUCUUUUUAUUUGCUUGGAUCUCAAAUAAAAUAUUGUUCAUCAUCCCAUUAUUCUCUUUACUUCGUAUACUAAAUUUAAUGCUCGUGUCAUACUGAUCCACUUGUUAAUGCUGAUUAACUUGUUGAGGGUGUUUCAUAUGUUGUGUGCUUUGUGAAUUGAGUCUCAUAUAUAAUGCAGUAGUUGCAAGGGUAUUUGUUCUUUAUGCUGAACAAAUGAAACUCUUUGUUCCUCAAGGAUUUGUUCUUUAUGCUGAACAAAUGAGGCUGCAGGAAACUCUUGGACCUGUUCCUCAAGGAUUUGAUAUGUACUUUGCAAGUCGAUUCCCAAAGCUCCUAAUUGAAGUCUACAAAGUGGUUUACCGAUUCUGUAAGGAAGAGGAUUCCCUUAGCAAGUAUUUCGAAAGCAGCCUUUUGUAGGUUCAAAAUGCUUGUUUUGUACUUCUUGGAUGCAAUAACUAAACCCUAGUAUAUUAUCCUAAAAAGGUUGUAUCUACUAUGUUUAUAAUCCAAAUCCUGCUUA